rnacentral:rRNA from 1 species
AACGAACGCUGGCGGCAUGCCUAACACAUGCAAGUCGAACGAGACCUUCGGGUCUAGUGGCGCACGGGUGCGUAACGCGUGGGAACCUGCCCUUAGGUUCGGAAUAACUCCCCGAAAGGGGUGCUAAUACCGGAUAAUGUCUUCGGACCAAAGAUUUAUCGCCUUUGGAUGGGCCCGCGUUGGAUUAGCUAGUUGGUAGGGUAAAAGCCUACCAAGGCGACGAUCCAUAGCUGGUCUGAGAGGAUGAUCAGCCACACUGGGACUGAGACACGGCCCAGACUCCUACGGGAGGCAGCAGUGGGGAAUAUUGGACAAUGGGCGAAAGCCUGAUCCAGCAAUGCGGCGUGAGUGAUGAAGGCCUUAGGGUUGUAAAGCUCUUUUACCCGGGAUGAUAAUGGCAGUACCGGGAGAAUAAGCUCCGGCUAACUCCGUG